rnacentral:tRNA from 1 species
GGGGGUGUGGCUCAGUUGGUAGAGUGCUUGCCUAGCAUGUAUGAAGUCCUGGGUUCGAGCCCAGCCCCA